GUUAAGGGGUAUGUUGUCUGGCUCGGUGCCCCCGGUCGAGGUCGAUAGUCGUCGACUCCCUUCGCCGGGAGAAAGACGUGCAUGUGCGUCGAUUGAUCGGGGACGUCGGACCAGGCUUCAUUCCCUUUAAC
rnacentral:pre_miRNA from 3 species